GGUUUCUGCUUGCUGUUUACAGCCACCAUGAACUGCAGCCCAGCCAGGUCCACCUGUCUUGGAGCCCAAUGAGCAUAGACUGAAACCUGCAAAAACUGUGUAUAAGAUUCAGUUUGUUGGAAUUAUGAAUGAAUCUAACUUAAGAACUUCCUCCUGGAAGUAUCUUGGUCCAGAUGAAGUGGAAUAAACUACAUUAUAUGUAAAUGUGUCUUAAGAUUCAGUGAAGGAAGAGCUGAGAAAACCCCUGAUUUUCCUCUCAUCUCAGAAACUGAUUGUUGUUGGAACCAUAUAAAAUUCUUAUUCAGGGAGAUGUAGUCAAAGAAAACAAAAGAAACAUACAGUAUGAGAACACAGCAAGAAGACCACUAUCUGCCAGCAGAGAGAGAAGCCUCAAAACCAACCAAACUUGCUGAUUGUUUAAUCGACUCAACCUGUUUCAUUUAUAGUCAAAAGUUGCAAUAGGCAUAAGUGUACCAAAGAUGUCAACAUUUUAAACCCAUGAGACACAAUUCACAGCCUCUGGAAGAUACAUAUAUCCCUGAACAGAUAACCAGCAAAAGAAAUAUGCUUUCAGUUACAGAACCACUAAAAAGAAAAUAAAAUUUUUCAACAUCCAAACAAAGAGAAGACAAUUGUCCUCUGGAGCUUCCAAAAAGAUGACAGCAUUUCCGAUACCAUAGUGUCCCCCAUGCCACAGUGAUUCCUGUGUCAGACUUCUGAUCAAAAGGCUUUUGAGGAAACUAAUUUGUAUUGAUUUACAUUGGAAAGCAAAUUUGUUAUAGCAGUAAUGGGAAAAACAAUAAAAAGUUAUACUUUAUCUUGUAUCUGCAGAAUUUGGGUUCAGAAUAAUUAUGGUGGGGAAUGUUCUGAAAGCUAUAAGCUUUCUGUAGUUUUUCUGUGUUUAAAAAUAAACUCAACUGGCAUUUU